rnacentral:rRNA from 1 species
GACGAACGCUGGCGGCGUGCCUAAUACAUGCAAGUCGAACGAGAGCAACCGGUGCUUGCACUGGUCAAUCUAGUGGCGAACGGGUGAGUAACACGUGGGUAACCUGCCCAUCAGAGGGGGAUAACAUCCGGAAACGGAUGCUAAAACCGCAUAGGUCUUCGAACCGCAUGGUUUGAAGAGGAAAAGAGGCGCAAGCUUCUGCUGAUGGAUGGACCCGCGGUGCAUUAGCUAGUUGGUGAGGUAACGGCUCACCAAGGCCGUGAUGCAUAGCCGACCUGAGAGGGUGAUCGGCCACAUUGGGACUGAGACACGGCCCAAACUCCUACGGGAGGCAGCAGUAGGGAAUCUUCCGCAAUGGACGCAAGUCUGACGGAGCAACGCCGCGUGAGUGAAGAAGGUUUUCGGAUCGUAAACUCUGUUGUUAGAGAAGAACAAGUGCUAGAGUAACUGUUAGCGCCUUGACGGUAUCUAACCAGAAAGCCACGGCUAACUACGUG